GGGCGGGGAUUAGUGGCGAACGGGUGAGUAACACGUGGGCAAUCUGCCCUGCACUCUGGGACAAGCCCUGGAAACGGGGUCUAAUACCGGAUAUGACUGUCCAUCGCAUGGUGGAUGGUGUAAAGCUCCGGCGGUGCAGGAUGAGCCCGCGGCCUAUCAGCUUGUUGGUGAGGUAGUGGCUCACCAAGGCGACGACGGGUAGCCGGCCUGAGAGGGCGACCGGCCACACUGGGACUGAGACACGGCCCAGACUCCUACGGGAGGCAGCAGUGGGGAAUAUUGCACAAUGGGCGAAAGCCUGAUGCAGCGACGCCGCGUGAGGGAUGACGGCCUUCGGGUUGUAAACCUCUUUCAGCAGGGAAGAAGCGAAAGUGACGGUACCUGCAGAAGAAGCGCCGGCUAACUACGUGCCAGCAGCCGCGGUAAUACGUAGGGCGCAAGCGUUGUCCGGAAUUAUUGGGCGUAAAGAGCUCGUAGGCGGCUUGUCACGUCGGUUGUGAAAGCCCGGGGCUUAACCCCGGGUCUGCAGUCGAUACGGGCAGGCUAGAGU
rnacentral:rRNA from 1 species